UUGUAGAGUAGAUUGUUUAUGUACAAGGCAUUCCUUGAUGAAUUCAUGGUGACUUCUACAAACAGAAAACUAUACCUUAUGGAUUACUGUCCACACCUGUUCUUAGAUGAUGGUGGAUUUAAAAGUCAUUGGGUUGUUGUUCAGUUUAGCACAGGUGUUAAGGCAACAUAUUGAAAGAAGCACAGAAACUUUCACAGGCAGGAAGUGCAUAUGGGAUGUAGGUCAAAAGGAAUCUAGACCUAAAGAACUUGGUGGAUAAUGGAGAUGGACUAUUAGCUGAGACUAGCCCUUCUGCUACUGCGGAUCAAAUUUAUUUAACACAUAAUUUACUAAUUUAAUCCUUCCUUUGAUGCUUUAUAUCAGUUAAUUUUAUGAAUGGACUUGCUGUUUGUGCAGCAGGUAGGAUCGGAGUCCUAGAGCUUAAAUGUUCAUACAAAUGCUGUAUAAUAGAAAUUGCACAUUAAACCAUAUUUGUAAUGAAAAUUAAAUACCAUUUAAUUUGGUAUAAUUUGUACAAGUUCUACUUUUGUAAUCUCAAACAUUUACA